GGGGCGUUCGAGCAGAACUGGACCUCGAUAUUUUCUUAAAACAAUAAAAAAAUAGAGUGUGAGAAGUGUGCUAGAUUAAUGGCAGGACUGUGGCUGGCAGCAGUAGAGCUUGCCCGUAUGACUCGAGCUGAUAGUGCUCUCUGCCACAUUC
rnacentral:snoRNA from 1 species